GGCGGUGUAGCUCAGCUGGCUAGAGCGUUCGGUUCAUACCCGAAAGGUCGGGGGUUCAAGCCCCUCCACCGCUACCA
rnacentral:tRNA from 6 species